AGAACGGGGCCUGACAGGGUGAGGCCCAAUUUUUAUGUCUCUGCCAGACACUGGUGCCAGUUUGCUACCAGCUGCCCGAAUCUUCCAGGGCUGCCAAUAAAAGGCUCAGGAAUGCUCACCAAGCCUGAAAUGCAAGGCCUGCAGCCUGGCCGGUGCUCAGCGUGGCUCUCUGCACCAGCAGGCACUCUCUGCAGAGCAGGAACAGCAGCCCCAUUCCUGAACACCUUGGUCUUCACAUACAUUACCUCAUUUUUGAUCCUCACAACCACCUACUGGGGUGUUACUUCUCAGAUGUAAAAACUGAAGUUCAAAGACUUUAAAUUGACGUGCUGAAACUGGUGCAUGGAAAAAACUGGAUUUGAACUUGAGUCUUGUUGGCUGCCAUCCAUUUCACUAUGCUGCAUUGCAAAUGAGUGAGUUGAAUGGAUGAAUAAUGAAAAUGAGGAGGACAUUAUUUCCAAGUGCUUUUCACCUAAGGCUUUCAAAGCACUGUGCAAGAAUCCCCCAGUACUGUACUGAGUAUUUCCUCUGCAGGCACACAGGGUGCUGGGUAUGUAAAGUCAGGUCACAGUUGUGCUUGUUCUUAGGAGACUUGCAAACACACGGAGAAACAAACAUGUGGUAACCAGUGAUAAGUAACAUCUAGUGAUGUGGCUGGGCUAGCCUCCACAGAGGUUAUUUUAUUUAUCUACUCCCCAAAAAUAGCCUUGAAAAAGGCACUAAUAUCUUUAUUUUUUUUUUUCAAAUAAAGAUGAUGAGGCUUAGCUGGGUUGAAAAGUGACCUACAGGAGCCAGUGUUGUAGAGCAGCAGGUAAAGCCACUGCCUUAGUUGCUGACAUCCCAUGUGGAUGCCAGUUUGUGUCCUGGCUGCUCCACUUCCUGAUCCAGCUCCCGGCUAAUGGCCUGGUAAAAGCAGCAGAAGAUGGCCCAAGUGUUUGGGCCCCUGCACCCACAUGGGAGUCCCAGAUGAAGCUCCUGGCUCCCAGCUUCAUCUUGGCUCAGCCUUGGCAAUUGUGGCUAUCUGGGGAGUGAACCAGCAGACGGAAGGUCAUAAACACAGAGCUGAAUUGGAAGAGGAGCAGCUGGGACUCAAACCCGCACCCAUAUAGGAUGUCCGCACUGCAGGCAGAGGCUUAGCUCACUAAGCCACAGCGCCAAUGCCUGGAAGCAGAUGUCUGCAGUGAAGCUCUAUGCUAUUCCACCUGAAACGUCAAGAGAGCAGGAGGAAAAGAUCCUGUUGGGUUCAGCUCGGUGCUGUGGCCGACUCGGGUAGAGCUGGGGAGGCAGGGGGGUCUGGCUUGCUUGCAGGGCUGAAUCUGGGCUUGAUCCAAAAGACAAUGAGAGCCUCUUAAAGGGGUCUAAUUAGAGAAGUGCGCUGAGCAGAUUUCAUUGACUCUCCUGUGUAAAACCCGAUGCCUAGGCGAUCCUCUGCACUGACCCCAUCAUUUCUACUUCCCUGCUCACCAAAGUCACCCCCAGAACAAUCCUCCCACCUCCUGCCUCAACAUCCCCUCCUGCCUCAACUCCUGGCUCCCGGGUGCUUUACACAGCUGCCCCCUUCUGUGACAUUCAUGUCAUCAGGCAUUGUGCCCCCACCGCACCCCUCUAGGUGGCCACCAUCUGCCUGCCAGGUCUGUGCCACUAAUGGUAUUGAUGUCUUCCCACUGUCUUCAACCACCACCAUUUGCGGAUGCUUCAAAAUUCAGAUCUCCAGUGCUGGCCUCUCAGCAGAAUUCCCAGCUCAUGUACCCACUGCCUUCUGGAUGCCUCCACGCGGCCAGCAACUGACUUUGCAAAUGCGGUGACCCUUCAUUCCCCUGCCACCCCGCGAGCUUCACCAGACUUCCUGGUAACAGAAAAUAACAUGACUGCCCACUCAACUGCUCAAAUCCAAAACCUAGGGGCUCCCCAGGCUGCCUUCCUGCCUAUGUACCUAAAAACAGAAGCAGGCUCUCGCUGCGGCUCAUCUGGGCUCAUGGUUUCGAGGGUGCAAGGUCUAGGGGCCUCACCUGGCAAUGGCUUUCUUGCUCCGAGAGUCCUGGGACCAUGUAGCACAGCAAGGGACAGGGAGCGCACCUGUGCAGGUGUGCUUGGUCUCUCGGCCUCUUCUCAAAAAGUCACCGAGUCAUGGGGCUCCACCCAAAUGACUUUAGUUCUACUCACAGUUCAAAGGCACCAUCUCAAAACACCACAGAUCAAGCUUCCGCCUUCUUAAUAUCUCACAGUGGAGGGGCAGGCACAGUGGGUUAAGCUACCACUUGCAAUGCCAGCGUCCCAUACGGGCGCCAGUUUGAGACCCACCUGCUCCACUUGCAAUGCAGCUCUCUGCUAACGCACCUGGGAAAGCCGUAGAAGAUGGCUCAAGUCUCUGGGCCCCUGCACCCACAAGGGAGACCCUGAAGAAGCUCCUGGCUCCCUGGCUUCAGCCCUGCCCGGCUUUGAGAUGCACAUUGUGGCUGUUUGGAGAGUGAACCAGCGGAUAGAAGAUCUUUCUGUCUCUGUCUCUCUCUGUCUCUCCACCCCCCCCCACCCCGUAUCUCUGCCUUUCAAGUAAACACAUAAAUAAUCUUAAAAAAAAAAAAAACAAAAAACAAAACACCUGGCCCUGACUACCACUCCUAUACUAUCUAGGGUGACUGUGGGCAAUUUUCUUUGCCUUCAGAGGCUUCAGUUCUUUUGUCUAUAAAAUGGGGAUAAUAAGACUUAUGCUCAUGGAUAGUGAAGACUGAAAGGGUUAAUACACGCAAAGUACCCAGCUCCACGCCCAUGGAAGCAGCGAACGUGAAGAGCCCUCUGUUCUGAGUGGUGGUUAGGGUUGUUGUUCUGUCCCGUGAGCCCCUGGGUGGACAGUGCAUUGUUUAAGGACACAGGGCAGCGUGUUUGUGCAGAACUCACUUCCUAUCAUUAGAGCUAUUAGAUUUAUAAUCGCUCGAUUAGAAUUUGCUCAAGUGUGUAAGAGCCACGGCGAGAGAGGCGCUGGGGCCCGGUGCAGAACACAUAAUGGGGCAAACAAGUUAUUCUGUUCCUGUUUUUGAGUCACAGGGAAAGACCGAGGGCUAUUUUUAGCUGUGGUAGGUUUGGGUUCUGGGGAGGGCACUGGAGCCUUGUUGGCUACAUUACACUGAAGCCUAAUAGAGAGUCACGGGGAUCUGUUUCGGGUUGUUUUUAUUCAUCAAAGAGUGUUUGGGGUUUUGUUUUGUUUUUCCUCAAGUUGAGAUAUUCAGACUUACCAGGCAGCAAGCAGGCAGUACCCAAUGCACAGAUUUAACCUAAUAAAAAUAAGUCCUUUGUUCUGUCAAGUUUCCACUGGGCAUCCUCAAAACAGGAAAAAAGAGUCGUACACAGAGCACUGCUGUAGCUCGAGCAAGCUGUUCUUUUAGGAAAAAAAUAGUUUGUGAUUAUACCAUUGUGCAUCUCACAAAAAUAAACUUUGGAGAGUGUGAUGUGAUUCAGAGGCCAACACAUGGCCUUCUCCGAGAGGUUUUGUUUUGGUUCACGGAGCUCUUUGAGGUGCACACAGAUGUCUGUGUUCUAAGAUGACAACAAGCACGCAGUAUAGCCGCAAGGGGGGGACUCUUUACAGCCAGUCCAGCCACUUUGAGUUUGGCAGGUUAGACACAAAAUAUUGUUGGGAUGUGGGGCCAGCGCCGUGGCGCACUUGGCUAAUCCUCCACCUGCGGCGCCGGCACACCGGGUUCUAGUCCUGGUUGGGGUGCCGGAUUCUGUCCCGGUUGCCCCUCUUCCAGGCCAGCUCUCUGCUGUGGCCCAGGAGUGCAGUGGAGGAUGGCCCAGGUGUUUGGGCUCCUGCACCCGCAUGGGAGACCAGGAGGAAGCAUCUGGCUCCUGGCUUCGGAUCGGCUGUGGUGGCCAUUUGGAGGGUGAACCAGCAUAGGGAGGACCUUUCUCUCUUUCUCUCUCACUAACUCUACCUGUCAAAAAAAUAUAUUGUUGGGAUGUAACAAACCUGUC